rnacentral:lncRNA from 1 species
AGGUAUCCUUGGGUUUUAUGUUCUCCUGAUCAAAUGUUGAACCUAAUUGUGAAUUUUUUUUGUUUGUAUGGAUUUUAGAAUCUGAGUGCCGAGAUAGAACGGAUUAAGAAAGAGAAUGAGAGGAUGCAGAUCGAAUUAAGGUUUUUUGUUUGUUUGUUUGGGUCGGCUUAAUUUUAAUUUUGACUGUGUUUUCUGCUUGUUCUGACUGGUGUCUGUUUGAUAAACAAGACAUUUGAAGGGUGAAGAUCUGCAAUCUUUAGAAAUAGCUCAUCUCCAGCGCCUGGAGGACGCCCUGCAGAAAGGCCAAAUCCAUGCACGUGAGAAACAGGUAAAUAAACAACAUACAUUAUGGAACUAUCGAUAUGAUUAUUGUAGUCUGACAUUGAUUGUUGUUCUUAUAGAUUGAAUUCCUGCAGAAACUAAGGCGAAAUGUAGGCAUGCAUACUCAAAUUCAUCAUUAAUUACCAAGUUUCUUUCCAUUUUAGAUUUAUAAGAUUGUUGGGUUUUGUCAUCUUUUCAGGGGAAGGCUCUUGAGAUGGAACACAAACAGCUGGUUGAUCAUUGGGUAGGGGAUCUAUUUUUUCUUCGUCUAUUCGACUGACUUGAUCAACCUGUUGAUGUUUUGGAUGUUUUUUCUUAUCGAUUUGUGCCCAAUUGCAGCAGAACCAGGAGCUGCGGAAACAACAUGGUUAUCAGCAUCAUCAGAGGGAGUUUGCUCCUCUUCAGGUACCUUUGUGUUUCAGAGGUCAACCGAUUCAGCCUAAUUUACAUGAGAACAAGUAGCUGAUC